GGCAAUCCUAGCUAGCAUUACGGGUAUAGCAAUUGGCGUCAUUUACCCUUUGACGUUUGUGCUGAUGAAAGAGGUGGUAGGCGACCGGCAGAUGUCUGCGUACGGCUGGCUCUUCGUGUCCCACGGUACCGGGACACUCGUAGGCGGAGUUUUCGCUGGUUGUGUCCAUGAUAUAAGCAAGGCGUAUGAGAUAGUCUUCAUGGCGACAGGAGCAACAGCAGUUUUGAUGGCAACCAUGAUAGGAAUAAUGCGAUGGUUUUCAUCUGUUCGUAAACCGGAUGAAUAACGUCGGUCUUUACUUGUCCAUCCUGCUGUGACCAAGCACAGUUCCACUUCUCGGUUUACUAAGAAUUGCAGGCAUGUACCCAUAUUUUACAUGAAAACGAUUUCAUUUUAGUUUUUAAUGGUUUUAAAUUUGAUAAAUAAGACCGAGACUGAAAUACUUCAUUCCAUCUUUCUCUUAGAAUUGAAUGUUUAUUCAUUCUAGACCAGUUAAACGAUUUAUCAGUAUGUCAUUACUCGUGUAUUUUUUUUAGGGGUCUACUCCGCCUUAAAUUCAAUGGAAUAUUUAUGAAUCGACUUUCGUGCUUUGUAUAAAGAAUAACCGUCUGGCAGGUGGGGAGCGCGGAGGAGAAAACCCCGCUUGAUAUUUGUGCCGUGCUCGUCUUCUCAGUAGGGCAGUCAAGACGAAAGUGAAGCACAUGUUUCACCCGCCCCUUGAGCUCAAACGUUUAUUGUUAUUUAACCUAUUUCUUUGACGUCAAACUAUUGUUAAAAGUGUAGAUAAUUUUCACGAAUCUACACUUUACUGUAGAUUAUUUUAAGAAUCUACACCUAACUGUAGAUAAUUUUAGGAAUCUAUAGUUUUUGUUGUGAAUAGCCUCUGCAAACAACUCCAUUUAUACACGGUUUCAGUAAAAGUUUCAGUCCAUUAUAAUGAUAAGAAAAAAAAUGUUAAUGGUACUCAAAAAUGUACGAAUUUUGUUGUUUUUUCCCGAAAAACAAUUGACGUGUACCUGAUUUUAAUAAAUACCCUACUAUUUUAGUUCUUUAA